rnacentral:rRNA from 2 species
CGAUGAAGAACGUAGCGAAAUGCGAUACUUGGUGUGAAUUGCAGAAUCCCGUGAACCAUCGAGUCUUUGAACGCAAGUUGCGCCUGAAGCCAUUAGGUUGAAGGCACGUCUGCCUGGGCGUCACGCAUUGCGUCACCCACUCCCCUCGUGUCCCAAGUGGGCAC